AAUCAAUGAAGAACUGAAGACGAAGAAUCCCUGUUACUU
rnacentral:sRNA from 1 species